rnacentral:lncRNA from 1 species
CAAGAAGCUGCAGUUUGGGGAAAUGAAUCCUUUAAAAUGCACUUGGGAAUCGCUCAAACUUGAUUUUACACAUACAAACAUCAGCAAACUUUUCAGUCAGAGCUGUGAACUUUUCCUAUCUGCAUGGAUCUUCUUUGAGUUGCUAUGGCAAUACCUACUGUUCCCUUCUGUGUGCUUGCUAAGUUCUCUGCAAGGAGCUUAGAAGCAUGCGUUUGUCAGGAGAUUGUGCAAAGGAGUGGUGGAAAAGAAAGAUAAAGAGAAGAAAAACAGAAACUGGCUGCAGUUGUAGCAGGGGCACACCCAAGGUGAGCAGACGCUUGAACAAUCCUACAGCUGCAGCUCUGGGAUACGCCAGGCCAUCUGUCACAGGAUGGUGCCUCAUCCCUCUAGAAGAGGCUUGAUAAGACUGUAGCUAAGAGAGUGUGGUACAGAAAAUGAAAUGAACUGCAAAAUAAAAAGAAGACAGUAUGUGAAAAAGCAGACAGCCCUGGAAAUCUUAUACAAAAGGAAUCAUUUAUCAUGUGGGUAACACAGAGACUACGCUUUCAUUGACACCAUGACAACUAUAUGCCUAGCAUAUUGAUUGAAGUCUCCAGAUCCUGUGACUUUCUGGUGGAAAAGUCCAGAAACUCUCAAAAAGGUACCUCUAUGAUGUGGGGGCAGUAGGUAUAAGGUAACAAAAUAAAUUCAGAGAGGA